rnacentral:rRNA from 1 species
GAUGACGUCAAGUCAUCAUGGCCCUUACGGCCAGGGCUACACACGUGCUACAAUGGUCGGCACAAAGGGUUGCCAAGCCGCGAGGGGGAGCUAAUCCCAUAAAACCAGUAGUAGUCCGGAUCGCAGUCUGCAUACUCGACUGCGUGAAGUCGGAAUCGCUAGUAAUCGUGGAUCAGAAUGUCACGGUGAAUACGUUCCCGGGUCUUGUACACACCGCCCGUCACACCAUGGGAGCGGGUUCUGCCAGAAGUAGUUAGCCUAACCGCAAGGGGGGCGAUUACCACGGCAGGGUUCGUGACUGGGGUGAAGUCGUAACAAGGUAACCA